AUGCUGCUUCUGCCAAGCGCCGCGGACGGCCGGGGCACCGCCAUCACCCACGCUCUGACCUCUGGAACUGGAGGAUAAGAAAGAGUUAUCUGAGGAAUCAGAAGAUGAAGAAUUGCAGUUGGAAGAGUUUCCCAUGCUGAAAACACUUGAUCCCAAAGACUGGAAGAACCAAGAUCAUUAUGCAGUUCUUGGACUUGGCCAUGUGAGAUACAAGGCUACACAGAGACAGAUCAAAGCAGCUCAUAAAGCAAUGGUUUUAAAACAUCACCCAGACAAACGGAAAGCAGCUGGUGAACCAAUAAAAGAAGGAGAUAAUGACUACUUCACUUGCAUAACUAAAGCUUAUGAAAUGUUAUCUGAUCCAGUGAAAAGACGAGCAUUUAACAGUGUAGAUCCUACUUUUGAUAACUCAGUUCCUUCUAAAAGUGAAGCAAAGGAUAAUUUCUUCGAAGUGUUUACCCCAGUGUUUGAAAGGAAUUCCAGAUGGUCAAAUAAAAAAAAUGUUCCUAAACUUGGUGAUAUGAAUUCAUCAUUUGAAGAUGUAGAUAUAUUUUAUUCUUUCUGAUGAAGAAGAAAAAGAAAAAGCAGAAUGUCGUGAUGAGAGGAGAUGGAUUGAAAAGCAGAACAGAGCAACAAGAGCACAAAGAAAAAAAGAAGAAAUGAACAGAAUAAGAACAUUAGUUGGUAAGUAGAAUUGAUUUUUUUUAAGUCCCCUAAAUGUUAGAAAUUCAAAAUGAGAUUAACUUUUUCUUUUGCUAGACAAUGCAUAUAGCUGUGAUCCAAGGAUAAAAAAGUUCAAGGAAGAAGAAAAAGCCAAGAAAGAAGCAGAAAAGAAAGCAAAAGUAGAAGCUAAACGGAAGGAGCAAGAAGCUAAAGAAAAACAAAGACAAGCUGAAUUAGAAGCUGCUCGGUUAGCUAAGGAGAAAGAAGAGGAGGAAGUUAGACAGCAAGCAUUGCUGGCAAAGAAGGAAAAAGAUAUCCAGAAAAAAGCCAUUAAGAAGGAAAGGCAAAAACUUCGAAACUCAUGCAAGACCUGGAAUCAUUUUUCUGAUAAUGAGGCAGAGCGGGUUAAAAUGAUGGAAGAAGUGGAAAAGCUUUGUGAUCGGCUUGAACUGGCAAGGUAUACCUAUGGAACUGCUAUUGAAGUCUUCAUUUGAGCUUAGGAUAAAGUUUCAUUUCUUCUUUUUUUUUUCUUUAGCUUACAGUGCUUGAAUGAAACACUCACAUCAUGCACAAAAGAAGUAGGAAAGGCUGCUUUGGAAAAACAGAUAGAAGAAAUAAAUGAGCAAAUCAGAAAAGAGAAAGAGGAAGCUGAGGCUCGUAUGCGACAAGCAUCUAAGAACACAGAGAAAUCAACUGGUGGAGGUGGAAAUGGAAGUAAAAAUUGGUCAGAAGAUGAUCUACAAUUACUAAUUAAAGCUGUGAAUCUGUUCCCUGCUGGAACAAAUUCAAGAUGGGAAGUUAUUGCUAAUUACAUGAACAUACAUUCUUCCUCUGGAGUCAAAAGAACUGCCAAAGAUGUUAUUGGCAAAGCAAAGAGUCUCCAAAAACUUGACCCUCAUCAAAAAGAUGACAUAAAUAAAAAGGCAUUUGAUAAGUUUAAAAAAGAACACGGAGUGGUACCUCAAGCAGACAACGCAACGCCUUCAGAACGAUUUGAAGGUCCAUACACAGACUUCACCCCUUGGACAACGGAAGAACAGAAGCUUUUGGAACAAGCUUUGAAAACAUACCCAGUAAAUACACCUGAAAGAUGGGAAAAAAUAGCAGAAGCGGUGCCUGGCAGGACAAAGAAGGACUGCAUGAAACGAUACAAGGAACUUGUCGAGAUGGUAAAAGCAAAGAAAGCUGCUCAAGAACAAGUGCUGAAUGCCAGUAGAGCCAAGAAAUGA
rnacentral:sRNA from 1 species